rnacentral:lncRNA from 10 species
CCCCAAAAAAGUCAGAUUCCUUUUAAAAUGUAUUGCUGCAAAGUCAGAUCUCUUUCAUUUUGUAUUUGUGAUUCUAAUUUUUUUAUAUUAAAUGCCAGAUUACGUUUUCAUUUCUGUUGAGUAUCCUUUCAUUGGUUUCAAUCUCUUUGGUAGGAUGAUUUUGACUUUUGAAUUAAGAGUUUACCGUAGGAGAUAUCCGUCCAAACGAUGAGGCACAUCUACAUUUAUCGACUUUGCUUUGUCUUCAAUCAAAAAUAAAAAUGGCAAAGGACCUAGGUCCAAGAAAUUGUCCUUUUCUGCGACAUCACUGAUCUGAAUUGCAAGAGACACAAGUACACACGCAAGUCACAGCCAACUGAAAGCAAAGCAAGGGUUAAGGACACUGAGUAAUUGCUCCUGGACAAGGCUAAGAGGACUAUGGGUCAUCCAGGACAGCCCAGUUCUACUGAGCCACCUUAAUGAAGAGUAAGGUUGUGGAAUCUCAUUGGUGCUCAUGGAUUAAAGGAGAUUGUUAAUGCUUUGGGUGAACGACUUGAAUAAAAAAUUCUUUUCCAUACAUUUGCCAUAUUCUCCAGGCUUAGGGCCCAGCGAGGUAAGGACUAUAUAUUCUUAAGAGACGUAGUCAGCUUUUAGGCAGUGGCUGUUUCUGCAUAGCAAUUAGAAAUAACUUCUCUUUUAGCUAUAUGGGAAUAAAUUUAACAAACACCAACAGAUGGCCUUUCAGACAGGAAGAUUUCUACAGAAUUCUAAUCUCAACACUAAUUGGUCAGGUCUUCCAAAGCAAAGAAAACAAGAUCAGUUAUCUUUAUAAUUCAUACACAAACCUGAUUUCUGCCUGAUCAAUGUAACAGUGCUUUAGACUAAAUUGUCCAAAUGAAGUCAUCAAGCAUUAGCUUAUAAACAUAAAAGCCUACACUAUGUGAAAAUUCCUUUAUGCACUGAGCAUACUGACGACACAUAUUACCUGUGUUUUCUCUUUUUUAAAAAAUUGAAGUCUUUUAAAUUCAAUACAAAUCUCUCUUUUUUUUGGUUUUUGUUUUUAAGACAGGAUCUCACUAUGUUGCCCAGGCUGGAGUGCACUGGCAUGAUCACAGUUCACUGUAGCCUCAACCUCCUGGGCUCAAGGGAUCCUCCUGCCUCAGCCUCCCUUAGUAGAUGAGAAUACAGGCAUGUGUCACCACACCUGGCUAAUUAAAAAAAAUUUUUCGUGUGUGGAGACCUGUCUCCCUGUGCUGCCCAGGUUGAUUUAGAGUUCCUGGGCUAAAGCGAUUCCCCUUGCCUCGACCUCCAAAAGUGCUGGGAUUACAGGCAUGAACCAUGGCGCACAGCCAAAAAAUGUUCUAUUUUAAGAAAACAUUGGGGAAAUUUCCUUAAAAAGUUGAUCCUUUGCAGGUGAACAGUCCUGCCUUAGACCUGGGUAUGAGAGGCUACCACCCCAGUACUUAUGCUUGAAAGGGUCCCACUCCGGCUAUCCUCCAGCGAGAACUCCUCUCCAUGGGUCCAGGAGUCAGCAGAGCCAAGGACACAACCCCAGUGGCUGCUGUCCCCCUCGAGGCCACACUCCAGGAACCAGAGUGCUGGAAUUCCCUGCCACCAAUCCAGGUGCACUCCUUCAACCUACACAGGACUCUCUCUAGGCCCUUCCAUCCAAGUGUUUGAAGAGUAGCCAAGAGGCAGCUUUUAUUGGGACCAGAGCUUGGACAAAUGAGCUGUGCUACCACACAAGGGUGUGAGGGCCCUCUGAUUCUGGACAGUGUAGAAGGAAGGUGGGCCAGGGGUCAUGUCUCUUCACAUUCUGGUGCAAGACUCCAUUGGUCCAAAAAUUUUACAUUUAAAUCUAGCCUUCCAUGACACUAUGUCAGGGUAGAACAUAUUGCACUUAAUGGUUUAAGAGCUUCACUAAUCAUUUUCAAAUAUUUAGGCAUCAACAUGCCUUCAUUUCUAUUUCCCCUCCAGGUCCCACUCCUGUCCUACAAUAAUCAUCAUCCUCAAUACACAUAUUUUGAAAAUGUAGAUUAUUAUAUUAGAUCUUGCUGAAAGCAGCACUCAGUUCAAUAAAAGUAGCAUACACACAUUUUUAUUCUUUCUUUCUUUUUUUUUUUGGAUGGAGUUUUGCUCAUGUUGCCCAGGCUGGAGUGCAAUGACACAGUCUUAGCUCACUGCAAUCUCCACCUCCCAGGUUCAAGAGAUUGUCCUGCCUCAGCCUCCCAAGUAGCUGGGAUUACAGGCACGUACCAUCACACGCGGCUAAUUUUUUUUUUUAUUUUUAGUGGAGACGUGGUUUCACUAUGUUGGCCAGGCUGGUCUCGAACUCCUGACCUCAGGUGAUCCACCCGCCUCGGCCUCCCAAAGUGCUGGGAUUACAGGCGUGAGCCACCAUGCCUGGCCCACACAUUUUUAUUCUAAACAUUUCCUUGAAUAGUACCUCUUUAUCUUCAUGAAUGUAGUAGGGCACACAGGUGAAUUGUUUUCUAUGCCUGUGACAAGGGACAAUUUGAAAGUAAUGAAGCAUAGCACAUUAAACGCCUUUCUUCAAAGGAAUCUAUGAAGCUUGGCCUAAAAUCCUGUGGUUCUCUGUUUCAACACAAUCUCAUAUCUUUUAAAUUCUGUUUGUAAACUAUUUUUUUAAUUUUUUGAGAGCAUGUCAGUGAAUAAAUUAUUUUAGCCAAUUCAUAGAUAAACUGAGCUUCAAAGAAAGCAUAAGGUAUUACUCUGUCUCUAACAACAUUGUGUCCUGGGCCAUGAAGUCAGAACUAGGACAUGAAGUAUAAAUUAAAGAUAAAACUCCUCUAUGAGAACCUGGCUUUCUGCAUGCAGGCUGGACUUCCCAGAGCCAUUUCCCUAACUUUCCAUGGCUUCUGCAUUCUGGAGCCAUCUGUGCUCAGCGCCGCUCCAGGUCAAGGGCUGUGUCAGCAGCAUGUGAUGCUGAGAUUCCAAGUGGGGGCAGAUCCGCUUGAAACUGGGCUUUGCUGAAAUAGAUCAAUUCUUUUUAAUUAUAUUUUGACCAAGCGUGCAUAAAUAAAUUUCAUCAUUUUGGCAUCCACAUCACUCAUCUCUGUCAAUACCAUAUUCCCAACACUGGCAGAGCUGCCUGUGACUAAGCUUGACGCAUAUGCUCCCUGGACCUUACACCACUGUGGCAGCCAUGACAUGAAUUUUAUUUUGUGAAAUAUUUAUAACAUUUCCCACCACCAUCAUCAUUCAAUGGGGGGCUUUGGCAGCCUGCCACAGAGACAGAACCAAAGGGAAAGUGACUUCUGUGUGAGAAUGGUAGGUGCUUUUUGUGUGUAUGUUGGGAGGGGGUGCCUUUCAGCUUCUUUCUAAAGUCUGAGAUUAUCUACUAUUUAGAAUUAGUUAUACCAUCUCUCACCCACUAACUGAAUAUGUAAGUGGCUCAGGGAAUUAGUAAUCAUAGUCCCAGAUUUUCAUUUCUCUUACCCACAUUGAGUUUCAAUUAUGUACAUUGUGUCAAUAGGGACGUCAUAUUUUUCUGAAGAGUUGUAAUGAAGUGGGCUUUGUGAAUCUGCAGUCAUUGAACCUAGAUAUUUGUAGGGCUUCCCCGUUUUAUCACACCACUCCUGCCUUAAGAGGUACUUCCUGACCAUCCACUUUAAAUUACACCUUUCUGCAGUCAGUGCUAUGGCAUCACCCUGCUCUGUUGUCUCAGUGGUAUUUAUCACUAUCCAAAAUUUCAUGGAAUACUUAUUUGUUUGCUUUUUGUUUUCUCCAUUCCAAUCCCACUACAUUCAGACAUUUUAGUUAUGAAGUCCUAUUAUGAAGAAGGACCUCCUGUAUCUUCUAAAAAAUGUAACAGCUUUAUUGAGAUAUAAUUCACAUAUCAUACAAUUCAUCCAUUUAAAGUGGACACUUAGAUGGUCUUUGGUAUAUUCAGAGUUGUGCAACCAUCACCACAAUGAAUUUUAGAACAUUUUCAUCAUUCCAGAAGAAAACUCACACAUCAGCCCUCUCUCCUCAUUCUUCCAACCCCUUUCCCUAAUUUCUAACCAACUCUUCAUCUACUUACUGUCUCUUUAGAUUGGCCUAUUCUGGAUAUCUCACAUAAAUGGAAUACACAAUAUGGGGUCUUCUGUGUCUGGCUUCUUUUAUUUAGUACAAUGUUUCAACAUCCUAACAUGAUAUCAGUACAGUCAUCCCUGGUCCCUAGGUAUCUGUGGGGGAUUGGUUCUAGGACACCUUGUGGAUACCCAAAUCCACAGAUGCUCAAGCCUGUUAUAUAAAAUGGUAUAAUAUUUGCAUAUAACCUAUGCACAUCCUCCUAUUCUCCUAUAUACUUUAAGUCAUCUCUAGAUUACUUAUAAUGCCUAAUAAAGUGUAAAUGCUAUGUAAAUAGUUAUAUCGUAUUUUUAAAAUUUGUAUUAUAUUUAUUGUUGGUUGCUAUUUUUUAUUGUUUUUUAAAAUAUUUUCAAUCUGCAUUUGGUUGAAUCUGUGGAUGUGGAACCCACAGAAAGGGAGAGCUGAUUGUACUUCAUUCCACUGCAUGACUGUAUCACACUUUAUUUAUUCAAUAAUCAGUCAAUGACAUUUGGAUUAUUUCCACUUUUUGGCUGUUAUGAAUAAUGUGCUAUGAACUUUCAUGUACAAGUUUUUGUGUUGACAUAUGCUUUCAUUUCCCUUGGGUAUACACCUAAGAGUGAAACUGCUGGGUCAUAUAGCAACUCCAUAUUUAACCCUUUAAGGAUCUGCCAGAUUGCUUUAGAAAGUGGCUGCACCAUGUUGCAAUUUCCCUGCCUCCUUACCAACACUUAUUAUUAUCUGUCUUUUUUAUUAUAGCCAUCCUCAAGUGUGUGAAGGAGUAUCCUAUUGUAGUUUUAACUUGCAUUUCUCUGAUGGUUAAUGAGAUUGAGCAUUUCAUCAUGUGCUUAUUAGCCAUUUGUAUAUUUUCUUUGCAGAAAUAUCUGUCAGAUCCUUUGUACAUUUUUAAAUUAGAUUUUCCAAUUUAUAUGUUAUAAGAAUUCUUUAUAUAUCAAGAUACAAGUCAUUUGCCAGACUUAUAAUUUGGAAAUAUAUUCUCCCAUUUUGUGAAGUUUCUUUUCUUUUCUUUUUUUCUUCAACUUUUAUUUUAAGUUCUUGGGUACAUGUGCAGGAUAUGCAGGUUUGUUACAUAGGUAAACGUGUGCCAUGGUGGUUUGUGGCACAGAUCAACCCAUCUGUGUAUUAAGCCCAGCAUCCAUUGGCUAUUCUUCCUGAUACUCUCCCUCCCCCUGCCCCCUGACAGGUCCCAGUGUGUGUUGUUCCCCACCACGUGUCCAUGGGUUCCCAUUGUUCAGCUCCCACUUAUAAGUGAGAACGUGUGGUGUCUAGUUUUCUGUUCCUGUGUUAGUUUGCUGAGGAUAAUGACUUCCAGCUCCAUCCAUGUCUCUGCAAAGGAUAUGAUCUCAUUCCUUUUUAUAGCUGCAUAGUAUUCCAUGGUGUAUAUGUACCACAUUUUCUUUUCUAUCAUUGAUGGGCAUUUGGGUUGAUUCCAUGUCUUUGCUAUUGUGACUAAUGCUGCAAUGAACAUAUGCAUGCAUGUAUCUUUGUAUUAGAAUAAUUUAUAUUCCGUUGGAUAUAUACCCAGUAAUGGGAUUGCUGGGUCAAAUGGUAUUUCUGCUUCUAGAUCUUCCACAAUGGUUGAAUUAAUUUACACUCCCACCAACAGUGUGCAAGUGUUCCUUUUUCUCUGCCACCUCACCAGCAUCUGUUGCUUCUUGACUUCUUAAUAAUUGCCAUUCUGACUGGUGUAAGAUGGUAUCUCAUUUUGGUUUCGAUUUGCAGUUCUCUAAUAAUUAGUGUUGUUGAGCUUUUUUUUCAUAUUUUUUUUGGCUGCAUGAAUGUCUUCUUUUGAGAAGUGUCUGUUCAUGUGCUUUGCCUAGUUUUUAAUGGGGUUGUUUGUUUUUUUCUUGUAAAUUUGUUUAAGUUAUUUGUCAACUCUGGAUACUAGACCUUAGUCAGAUGGAUAGAUUGUGAAAAUGUUCUCCCAUCCUGUAGGUUGUUUUCUCUUUCUUGAUGAUGUUCUUUGAAGCACAACAAUUUUUCACUUUGAUGAAGUUAAAUUUAUCUACUUUUUAUUUUGUCACUUGUGCUUUUGGUGUCAUAUAUAAGAAGGCUUUGCUUAACCCAAGGGCAUGAAGAUUUACUCUUAUGCUUUUUUCUAAGUUUUAUAGUUGUAGCCUUUUCAUUUAAACCUAUUAUUUAUUUUAAGUUAAUUUUUGUGUAUGGUAUGAGAGGAGUCAUUUAUCUUUUUUAUCAUUUCUCAGUGCCUAGAGUGUUUGGAACAUAAUAGAUGCCUUAUGAAUAUUUCGUGAGUGAAAGAUUCCAUGAUGAGAAAAAUGGUAUUCGCCUCAUGACGAAUGAUAUUCAGCAUAUUUUCAUGUGCCUGUUUCUUAUUUCUACAUACCUUUCUGGGAAGUGUCUUCUAAUAUUUUGCCCU